rnacentral:lncRNA from 1 species
CCCUGCUGUCAGUUGCACCAUAGGUUGUGACUGAGUGCAAGUUAAGAAUGCUGAACCAGAUUACAUUCAUGGAUGCUUCUACCUCUCAAUUUCUGUCAUCUGCCAGAGAGAGAAAUAUUUGAAAGUUGUUCCUGCAUGUAGAACAAACAGUAAACAUCCUGAAAAGAUUUGAUAGCCAGUCUACCUUCUGUCCAUCACCUAUAGACACCCUCUUCCUUCUCAAGUCAAACUCAGUGGGUCAGUCAUGUUCACUACUAUGCUGUUACGGAGAUGGCUACGAGAGAGUGGAACCACACUGUGGAAGAAGCUUCUGUCUUCUCUGACAAGGAAGAGGAGACAUGGGAAGCUGGGAUGUCUGUUGCUUUGUGAUUCCAUGAUAGACUUGACAACACAGAAACUACCACAAUGUGAGGAAGCCCAGCAGUCCUCUGACCACACCAUACCUGAGCACAUUUACUGUGGACAGCAUGUUUAGCUUGAAGUCUUUCCUUCUACCCCAUCAUAGCUACCACUGUUGUGAGAACUCCCAUGUCCAGCACUCCAGGGAGGUGA